AUUUGUUGGAGGCGCGCUACACAGAGGCUCGCUACACAUUGUUUUCCUCCGGUAUGGAACACAGAUCAUCCCGUCUUCAAUUUUAUCGAUUUUCUACGUAAAAAAAAUACCUAAAGUUGUAUUACAAAAGUAGUUUGAAAUGUUUGGACAAAGCUUACAGGUAACAUUUGAGAUAUUUUGUAGUUACGUUGUGCAAGUUGGAACCGGUGUUUUUCUGGAUCAAACGGGUCAAAUAAAUGUACAUUUUGGAUAUAUAUCAACGGAAUUAAUCAAACAAAAUGAUCAUUUGUGAUGUUUAUGGGACAUAUUGGAGUGCCAACAGAAGAAGCUCAUCAAAGGUGUCGCCCAUCUUCCCCACUUAUCCCCUGGGUAUAUAUACCUGUGUUUUCUGUUUUCAUCGUGUUUGCAAAGUCAACCAGUGUUUUUCUCUCAGCUCCUGUUUUUCCCAGUCUCUCUUUUUCUCAUCCUCCUGGUUUUGACCCUUGCCUGU
ensembl:lncRNA